AACGAACGCUGGCGGCAUGCCUAACACAUGCAAGUCGAACGAGACCUUCGGGUCUAGUGGCGCACGGGUGCGUAACGCGUGGGAAUCUGCCCUUCGGUUCGGAACAACAGUUAGAAAUGACUGCUAAUACCGGAUAAUGACGUAAGUCCAAAGAUUUAUCGCCGAAGGAUGAGCCCGCGUAAGAUUAGGUAGUUGGUGGGGUAAUGGCCUACCAAGCCGACGAUCUUUAGCUGGUCUGAGAGGAUGAUCAGCCACACUGGGACUGAGACACGGCCCAGACUCCUACGGGAGGCAGCAGUGGGGAAUAUUGGACAAUGGGCGAAAGCCUGAUCCAGCAAUGCCGCGUGAGUGAUGGAGGCCUUAGGGUUGUAAAGCUCUUUUACCAGGGAUGAUAAUGACAGUACCUGGAGAAUAAGACUCCGGCUAACUCCGUGCCAGCAGCCGCG
rnacentral:rRNA from 1 species